rnacentral:tRNA from 1 species
UCCCUCAUAGCUCAGUUGGUAGAGAAUCUGGCUGCAAUGCAGGAGACCCUGGUUCGAUUCCUGGGUUGGGAA